CAAAUCAGGAACAGAGGUUUGAGUUUUUGUUUGUUUCUAGUUAACACUGCUGCAUUCUGACAAGCUUUGAUGUGUGAGCCUCUUUCUCUUAUAGCUUCUAGUUGCUGUCAUUUAUUUUGAUUGGUGCCAUAUUGAAACAUGUAUUUCCAUCCCUGUAAUCUGUUUUUUCUAAGCAUUUAAAAAAAAAAAAAAGCUCUAUGUUUUAUCAUGCGCUUCAUGCUGUUUACAUCUUGAAUA
rnacentral:misc_RNA from 1 species